rnacentral:rRNA from 1 species
UACGUAGGGGGCAAGCGUUGUCCGGAUUUAUUGGGCGUAAAGGGCGCGUAGGCGGCCUGUGCAAGUCAGUUGUGAAAUCUCCGGGCUUAACUCGGAACGGUCAACUGAUACUGCUCGGCUAGAGUGCGGAAGGGGCAACUGGAAUUCUUGGUGUAGCGGUGAAAUGCGUAGAUAUCAAGAGGAACACCCGUGGCGAAGGCGGUUCUCUGGGACGGUACUGACGCUGAGACGCGAAAGCGUGGGGAGCGAACAGG